rnacentral:rRNA from 1 species
GACGAACGCUGGCGGCGUGCUUAACACAUGCAAGUCGAGCGGUAAGGCCCUUCGGGUACACGAGCGGCGAACGGGUGAGUAACACGUGGGUGACCUGCCUCUAGCUCUGGGAUAAAGCCUGGGAAAACUGGGUCUAAUACCGGAUAUGACUCCACGGCGCAUGUUGUGGGGUGGAAAGCCUUGUGUGGCUAGAGAUGGGCCCGCGGCCUAUCAGCUU